rnacentral:tRNA from 1 species
GGGUCGCUAGCUCAAUUUCGGCAGAGCAACGGACUCUUAAUCCGCAGGUUCAGGGUUCAAGUCCCUGGCGACCCA